AGACGGGGCGUUGUCGUGUGCAACCUUGGAGACUGGCUUCUUUCCCAUCGCAGGAUAAUAAUAAUAGCGAGUGCCUUCCCCCUGGGAAACUAGGCAGCAGAGCAGGCCAAGAGGUUAACCAGAGGAAGUUAUUCAGAAGACAAUUAACUUCUCUCCAACCGGCAGCUCAUUGUAGGAACUGGAGCAAGGUUUUAGAGAUAACAGUACGUUGGCAUGCGUGGGCCUUCCUCAUCUGCAUCAACAGCUGUGUGACAUGCAGUUGUACUGCUGCAGCCGGGGGUUCUGGGUUCUUGUCACGACAAAACCGUUGCAAUGAC